AACGAACGCUGGCGGCAUGCCUAACACAUGCAAGUCGAACGAGACCUUCGGGUCUAGUGGCGCACGGGUGCGUAACGCGUGGGAACAUGCCCUUAGGUUCGGACUAACUCCCCGAAAGGGGUGCUAAUACCGGAUAAUGUCCUCGGACCAAAGAUUUAUCGCCCUUGGAUGGGCCCGCGUUGGAUUAGCUAGUUGGUAGGGUAAAAGCCUACCAAGGCGACGAUCCAUAGCUUGUCUGAGAGGAAGGUCAGCCACACUGGGACUGGGACACGGCCCAGACUCCUACGGGAGGCAGCAGAGGGGAAUAGUGGACAAUGGGCGAAGGGCUGAUCCAGCUAUGCCGCGUGAGUGAUGAAGGCCUUAGGGUAGUAAAGCUCUUUUACCCGGGAUGAUAAUGACAGUACCGGGAGAAUAAGCUCCGGCUAACUCCGUG
rnacentral:rRNA from 1 species